AGAAAAGCGACAAGGACUGGUUAUUUCUAAUCAUGGACUUAUGCGAGGAAACGUUGAAAGAAUUUGUUGAGCGCAGCAGUUUGGACGAUCUAAAAACAAAUGCGCAAACUAUCAUUCAGCAAGUUUUAACAGGAUUAGCUGAUCUCCAUCGUGAUCCAAAGUCCGUUUUGCAUCGUGAUUUGAAACCAUCCAACAUCUUGCGAAACGUCAACGAUAAAUGGUUGUUGGCCGACUUUGGUAUCAGUCUGAUCUUGACGCAAGAAGUAAGUACCUUUCGAAGCAAGGAGAGGGAAACAAAAGAUUGGAGAGCCGUUGAAUCGUGUUGUACGAAUGACAUGUC
rnacentral:lncRNA from 1 species